GAGUAACAAUAAUCCCCUUCUUAACUUGCUCACGAACUAGAUGAUAAUUUACCUCACGUGCAUAGUCCUCUCAUGGAACACAUGAUUGGAAACAAUAUGGACAAUGACCUGAUUGUUGCAAUACAUAUCGAUAGGUAACUGCACAUCGAACCUCAACUCCUUCGAGAAGUGCUCAAUCCACAUAAGUUCACAUGAGGUAUGAGUCACAGCCCUGUACGCAGCCUCUGUACUAGACCAGGCAACCAUUGUCUGCUUCUUACUUUUCCAAGUGACGGAGGUACCACCUAGAAAAGUAUAAUAUCCUACAAUAGACAUCCUAUCUGUAGGUGACCCAACCCAAUCAAAAUUAGUGAAAGUCUCGAUACGUAAAUGGCCAUGCAGUCCAUAGAACAAAUCACGACCAUGGUGUCUUGAGAUACCAUACAAUCCUCGAGGCUGCCUCCAUAUGGGUAAAACGAGGAGCAUACAUAAACUGACUGAUGACACUGACUGCAAAUGAAAUAUCUAGAUGUGUAAUAGUAAGGUAGUUUAACUUCCCCACCAAUCUCCGAUGACUGUUCGGACUAGACAACAGUUCAUAUUGCUUUACACACAACUUCACACUCUGAUCCAUAGGUGUCUCUACAGGAUUGGCUCCCAUAAAGCUGGUUUCCUUUAAAAUAUCCAGAGCAUACUUCCUUUGAGGCAAACUGAUUCCCUCCUUAUAUCGGACAACUUCGAUCCCCAAAAACUAUCGUAAACUGACCAAAUAUUUGGUGUGGAACUGUCCUUGAGGAAAAUUCUUUAAAUCAACAAUCCUUUGAGUGUCAUCGCCAAUGAUAAUAAUAUCAUCAACAUACACGAUCAAUAGAAUUCUUCCCUUCUCGAUCAUACUAGAAAAUACCGAAUGAUCAGACUGAGACCUGUGCAUGCCAAACUGUUGAACCGCCUCACUUAACUUUCCAAACCAAGCUCUCAGUGACUACUUAAGGCCAUAUAGCACCAUUUGAAGGCGACAUACACAACCACUCUCCUAUUGAGCAACAAACCUAAGAGGUUGCUCCAUAUAGACUUCUUUUUGAAGAUCAUAGUGAUUCACUUCCCCGGACACAAGGGCCACCCAAGAUUAGCCACGAGAGAUAAAAAUACGAAUAAACCCAAUCUUGGCAACAAAAGAGAAGGUGUCGGUGUAGUCAAUACCAUAAGUCUAGGUGUAGCACUUGGCAACUAGGCACACCUUAUAGCGCUCAACAGUCCCAUCUGGAAGGUAUUUCACAAUAAACACCCACUGACAACCAACAACAGACUUCUCAAGUAGAAGAGGAACCAUCUCCCAAUUACCAUUAUCAUACAAAGUUGUCAUCUCUUCAACCAUAAUUUGCCUCUAGCAAGGAAUAAACUGGGCGUUCGACACUGACUUAGGAACACAAGCAAUAAUGACAGAUAUGGUAAACACAUGUAAGGAAGGAGAUAAAUAAUCACAAAAGACAAACUGAGCAAUAGAAUGUGAAGUACAAGUAAUUUUACCCUUUCGAAGAGCAAUAGGAAAAGAGUCAAUGUUAUAGGCAACAUGAUAGGCAGUCACAAACAAGGAGUCGCCAGAGGGAGCCGAAGGCAGCGGUACAGGUAUCGGAGUAGUGGCCAUUUUAUUGCGACGAACAUAAACCUGUUGUGGUUUAAUCGGGGAACGGGGCAUUGAGGAAGCCGAGGCAUAGAAGGAACACGGGUAUAGAUAUAGUCCCUGGGGCCGCUAGGGGCAAUGGGAAAUUAGGGUAAGGACUCAUUGAAGGUAACAUCCGCACACACGAAAGUAUGCCUAAGCACAAGAGAAUAACACUUGUACCCUUUCUGAGUUUUAGAAUACCCAAGAAAAACACACUUAAUUGCUCGCGGAUUGAGCUUGUCAUGUGGUUGGAGGCACAAGAGUCAAUAACCCAAGGAAUAUGAGUAGAAACACAAGCGGUGGAAUUGUGGAAGCACCUGUCUAAGCUAGAGUAACAGUAGCAGGAGAGGAUUGCGCAGUCAGGAGACUAAUAGUCCUUUGUGGAGAUAGAGAUCAUCUAAUCUUCACAAAUGGAAACCUGAUGAGCAAUCGGAUGACCAUCCGGAUGUCCAUGGAGAUCCCAACAACGAUCAACAAUGUGAUUCUCUGGGUUGCAAUGAUUGCACUUUCAAGGACCAUGCCCACGUCCACUAGAAUCAUGGCUGCCAUGGCCAAACCUACAACUAACACGGAAGUAAUCACUCCUACCAUGACCAAAACCUUUCCCAAGAGGUGAUAAGGCCCAUAGAGUUAGCCAAGGCAGAGCGCUUAGCAGGGGACAAUGCAACAGGAGGGAGGGAGGCCUGGAAAAGAUGACUAAUACCUUGCUGAUAAAGGGGAGCUCCUUGGCUCAAAGGAUCUGAGAAAUGAGGACAACAAGAUAGAAAGGAAACGAGCAACUAGCAUGGACUCAUGCUGUUGCUUCAUUGCAAUAACAUCCGCUGUAAUAGGCUCACUUAAAUCAAUCUCCUCAUAAAU
rnacentral:lncRNA from 1 species